GGCUACAUCACGUUGAAACACCAGUUCCCGUACAAUCAUCGAAGUUAAGUAACCUCAUGCCUAGUCAGUACCUGUAUGGGUGACCGCUUGGGAAUGCACGGUGCUGUA